rnacentral:rRNA from 1 species
UACGAAGGGGGCUAGCGUUGCUCGGAAUCACUGGGCGUAAAGCGCACGUAGGCGGAUUGCUAAGUCAGGGGUGAAAAUCCUGGAGCUCAACUCCAGACGCGACGGAAACCGUGUGGCUAGAGUCCGGAAGAGGAGAGUGGAAUUCCUGGUGUAGCGGUGAAAUGCGCAGAUAUCAGGAGGAACACCGAUGGCGAAGGCAGCUCACUGGGACGGUACUGGACGCUGAGACGCGAAA